rnacentral:rRNA from 1 species
GGCUCUUUGGUAGGUAAAGAUAGAGAGUUUGACCUGCCCGGUGAUAGAAUUAAACGGCCGCAGUACCCUGACUGUGCGAAGGUAGCAUAAUAAUUUGUCUUAUAAUUAAAGAAUGGAAUGAAUGGUUUGACUAGGAUAUAACUGUCUCUUGUAUAUUUUUUAAAAGUUAAUUUUUAAGUUAAAAAGCUUAAAUUAGAUUAAAAGACGAGAAGACCCUAUUGAGCUUAAUAAGGGACUUACUAGUUGUAACUAUAGUAUAAAUAGAAGUUGGUAUCGAAAUUUUGGUUGGGGCGACUAAGGAAUAAAAAAAGCUUCCUUAAUAAACUAAGAAAGAUAUUUUUAGAGCCAGAGAAUUUUGAAUUGAGAACAAGUUACCAUAGGGAUAACAGCGUUAUUUUUUUUGAGAGUUCUAAUCGAAAAAAAAGUUUGCGACCUCGAUGUUGGAUUAGGAGUAAGAUAAAGGUUGCAGAAGCUUUAUACAUUUAGUCUGUUCGACUAUUAAUUUCCU